CUAAUACCGCAUAAGAUUACAGUACCGCAUGAUACAGUGAUCAAAGGAGCAAUCCGCUGAAAGAUGGGCUCGCGUCCGAUUAGAUAGUUGGUGAGGUAACGGCUCACCAAGUCGACGAUCGGUAGCCGGACUGAGAGGUUGAACGGCCACAUUGGGACUGAGACACGGCCCAGACUCCUACGGGAGGCAGCAGUGGGGAAUAUUGCACAAUGGGCGAAAGCCUGAUGCAGCAACGCCGCGUGAGGGAAGACGGUUUUCGGAUUGUAAACCUCUGUUUUCGGUGACGAAUAAAUGACGGUAACCGAGUAGGAAGCCACGGCUAACUACGUGCCAGCAGCCGCGGUAAUACGUAGGUGGCAAGCGUUAUCCGGAAUUACUGGGUGUAAAGGGAGCGCAGGCGGGAUAGCAAGUCAGUUGUGAAAACUAUGGGCUCAACCCAUAGAUUGCAGUUGAAACUGUUAUUCUUGAGUGGAGUAGAGGCAAGCGGAAUUCCGAGUGUAGCGGUGAAAUGCGUAGAUAUUCGGAGGAACACCAGUGGCGAAGGCGGCUUGCUGGGCUCUAACUGACGCUGAGGCUCGAAAGUGUGAGGAGCAAACAGGAUUAGAUACCCUGGUAGUCCACACUGUAAAC
rnacentral:rRNA from 1 species